UACGUAGGGUGCAAGCGUUAAUCGGAAUUACUGGGCGUAAAGCGUGCGCAGGCGGUUGUGCAAGACCGAUGUGAAAUCCCCGGGCUUAACCUGGGAACCGCAUUUGUGACUGCAUAGCUGGAGUACGGCAGAGGGGGAUGGAAUUCCGCGUGUAGCAGUGAAAUGCGUAGAUAUGCGGAGGAACACCGAUGGCGAAGGCAGUCCCCUGGGCCUGUACUGACGCUCAUGCACGAAAGCGUGGGGAGCAAACAGG
rnacentral:rRNA from 1 species